rnacentral:rRNA from 1 species
UACGUAGGAUGCAAGCGUUGUCCGGAAUUAUUGGGCGUAAAGAGCGCUCAGGCGGUAUGACAAGUCAGAUGUGAAAGAGGCCGGCUUAACCGGCAAGGGUCAUUUGAAACUGUCAGACUAGAGUGCAGCAGAGGAUAGUGGAAUUCCCGGUGUAGUGGUGAAAUGCGUAGAUAUCGGGAGGAACACCAGUGGCGAAGGCGACUAUCUGGGCUGCAACUGACGCUGAGGCGCGAAGGCUAGGGUAGCAAACAGG